AUUUUCAUUAGUAUAUUAGUAUAUUUGACUUCCAAUCAAAUGGUCCUGUUAUCAGGAUGAAUUUA
rnacentral:tRNA from 1 species